CAAAUUCAGGUACUUGAAAUCCAAACUCGGUGCUUCACGAUACCAUUUCUAUGAGCGAAAUAAUACUAAUAAUAAUAACAAUAAUAUAGAUAUCAAACAAAAUUUACAUAAUCAUCAGAGUCUAGCUCCCAAGUACGUAACCUUUAAUAUAUUCCUUACAUAACAUGAUAGAUAAUAUAUAUCAUUGUCUUAAUAAUAUCAAUAUAUUACAUAAAAUAACAUUGCAUUCAUUCAGCAACCUUUCCUUUUCCCUUGUUCUUAGCAGAGCCUUCAGGUUGUUCACACUUAGCUGAAAACAUUUAAAUUAAGCAAGGAUGAGCAUUUGAGUGCCCAGCAAGUAAUAACAAUUAUAAAUAUUAGCUGAAAGGAUUAAAUGUUUUCUUUGUACUACCCUUCUACAACAAAUCAAUAGUUGUGAAGUAAUCUGAACCGAUAAUAUUAAUAUAACAACUCUCUAUCAAAUUUUUGGAACUACGCACUGACUAUAAAUAGGGUUAAGGUGAUAUACUAUGAACAUUAUUUUCAAUUUUUGAAUAGUUUUAGCAGAACUUCAUCCGCAAACCGUCAUAACUUACGGGCACGGGGGGUGAUCAGUCCGUUAUGCCCUGUAUUGAUCAAUACUACAUGCAAGAACGAUAUGAUCGUUCACUCUGUCCGCCUUGGGCGCAUAAAAGUUUUCCCAUGUUCGGGAUGUUCAUAUUAAGUCGGGAAUCCGAAUCAAAACAAUUUGAUUGGAUACAAAAAUGUUUUAUCAUAUUCAACGAUAUUUCUAAAUCUGUGUCUAGCUGAUCAAAUAGCUUAGACGACUUUUACUUACUAUUUACAUACUGGCAAUCAAUAGGUAUAUAUAUAUAUAUAUAUAUAUCAACAUGUGAUUAAAUACAAUGAUUAUCCAAGUGGGGACACUUGUAUAACCAUAUUCAGAAAUUAACAAACAUAAUAUAUAUCUGAAUUACAAUAUAGUACCAUGUUGAUAAUCAAUGAUCGGAUAUAACAUAUAUAAUAGUAGGGUUAAUAAUCUGGUACAAUAAUAAUAUAAUUCUGAAACUUUCUUACUCAUGUCCAUUGCAUAAAGAAAAUGCAAAGGUAGGAUACUUGCCUGGUACGCUGCUUAUAAUUAACAACUUAGUUUUAUCUUUUAUAUAACCACCUAUUAGUAAUAAGAUCAUUUUACUGAUUAGAAUAACAUAUCGUAACGCAUAAUACUGCCUAUUGCAGUCAGCACAUAAUCUAAUCACCUUGUCACACAUAUCCAACAGUCAUUGAAUCACAAACAAACAUUAAUACAGUCAAAAUAUCUAAGUCCAGAUCAAUUUUUGAAAUAUGUCAGUGUACCGACAGCUUUAUCUGGUAAUUAUCGAGUCUAAGACUCUAUUCUCUAGCUCAAUAUCUGUAAGUAUCAGUCAUAUUAUUUUUAAAUAACUUAAUAUAAUUUUAAAACAUUUAUUAUAAUUUAUCAUGAAUUUUUAAACAUCAGAAUCAUUAUGAAAUGAUUUAAAUAUUAAAUAAUUCUAUUGUCAUUAAUAUUUAAUUAAUAUUAAACUAUUAAUGAAAUCAUUGCCAAAAUAUUAAAGUUAUUUAUAAUAACUCAAAAUAUUUUUAAAACAUUUAUAUUACCCUUAAAUAAUUUUUAAAACAUUUAAAACUAUUUUUAAAUAAUUACCAUUAAUAUUAAAAUAUUAAUCUAAUAUUCCUCAAAAUAUUAAAAGUCAUUAAGUAUAACUUAAAAUAUUUUUAAUUCAUUUAUAUCCUUUUUAAAUGAUUUUUAAAAUAAUUAAAAUUAUUUUUAAAUAAUUACCAUUAAUAUUAAAAUAUUAAUCUAAUAUUCCUCAAAAUAUUAAAAGUCAUUAAGUAUAACUUAAAAUAUUUUUAAUUCAUUUAUAUCCUUUUUAAAUGAUUUUUAAAUUAAUAAAACCAAAUUAAAACUAUUUAUAUAAUAUAAUUAUUAAAUAAAUUUAAUGUCAUUAAUAUUAAAUUAAUAUCAUUAGUAUUAAAUUAUUAAUGAAAUUAUCCUUUAAAUAAUUAAAGUUAUAUUUUAUAACUUCAAAUAUCUUUAAACACUUUAUUUUCAUUUAAAAUAAUUUUUAUAAUAUUAAAAUCAUUUUUAAACUAAUUUAUUUAAUAUAAUUAUUAAAUAACCUUAAUAUCAUUAAUAAUAAUUAAUUAAUAAAAUUUACCUUUAAAUAUUGAAAGUUAUAUUUAUUGCUUAAAAUAUUUUUAAAUACCUUAUUAUUAUUUAAAAUGAUUUUUAAUAUAAUAAAAUCAUUUUUAAUUUAUUUAUUUAAUUCAUUUAUUAAAUAACUAAAUUAUAAUUAAUAUUAAUUUAUUAAUAAAAUUUAUCACAAAAUAUUAAAAGUCAUUAAAAAUAACUUAAAAUAUUUACUUAUAUCAUUAUAUAAUUUUAAAUGAUUUUUCAAGUAUUAAAAUCAUUUUUAAAUAAUUUAUUUAAUAUAAUAAUUAAAUAAAUUAAAUACCUUUAAUAUUUCAAAAAUAUUAAUUAUUUAUGAAAUAUAUUAAAAAUUAUUAAAAACUAAUUUUCAGACUUUAAAAUAAUUUUUAAUAAUUUAUUUGGUAUUUUUAAUAAUUAAAAACUAAUUUUCUAUAAUUAUUUAAUAAAAAUAUAAUUUUUAUAAAGAAACUGUCGCUAAAGACCACCUAUAACGACUAUAGCAGGAGAACCGUCGCUAUAGGUGUUCUUCAUGUUCUUGCCCAAACCCAGAAAACUCAUGUCAGAGAUCGAGCGGGCAUGUUUGACCAAGUGUAGAUCUUAGACCUAAAAGAUUCUGGGCAUGUUGUUAGUCAAAUCUUGUAGUGCUAGUGUAAGACUACAAGAUCCAACAACAAACAUAACCAAAAAACAUCACAGUAAUUAGAUAUAAUCAUGCAAAGUAGUUGUCAGAGCUGUUCUUCAUUUCUGGGUUUGCCCAAGAAUGAAGAACAGUUCGACUGCCCUACUUUGGGCUUCCACAACUUGAAAUCCUGUUGAUAUUUUAGUGAUUUAAGAGUCUUAGAUUGUAGCUAGCAUGCAAGAGAAUAGAUAUGUUACAUAAAAUCCAUCUAAAAACAUUACAUCACCAAGAUUUGUGUCGGUCAACCCAUGUCAGAACACAUGUUCAUCAGUUUUCUGGGUUGCCCAGAAAACAUGAACUGUGUUCGACCAGACUACUUUGACCGGCCACUGAAUCCAACCUACUUGAUGUUUAGGAGAUUUUAAGGCAUAAAUAUGUAGUACAUAUACAAAGAUACAAAUUAGAUAAAACAACAACAUCAAAACAACAAUAUCUUGCAAGAUCAGAGACGUCAAAAGUCUUGUCAGACCAUUAUGGGCAAGAUCUGGGUUACCCAGAUUUUGUCCAGUCAUGGUCGGUCAAUGACCUUUGACCAACAAUAUCUUGCAAUAUGUUCAAGUUAUAACCUUGAUUCAACUUCUAGAGUACAGAUCUCAUGACAUACUACAAGAUUAAACACUUAAAACACCAAAUCAAUAAACACACUGAUAUCUAGAAGGUCUGACAUUCAUUGUCAGACAUCAAAAGCAAAACUUUUUAGAUUUUAUAAAAUGCUAGAUCUGAGCCUAUAGAUGUUAUGGAUCUAACAUCUAUCAACCCAGAUCAUCAUUAUACACUAUAUCUAACAUGUUUUAACAUAAAAAACACAACAUCUAACACAUUGAUCAAGAUCAGAUUUUUAAGUUAGGGUUUAUACCUUGAUGAUCAAUCUCUGAUUUUGGCUUCUAAUUUUUGUUAUAUGUUAGUUUUUGGGACUGAAAAACUAAAGGAAUUUCGUGGAUUUUGAGUUGAGAGAGUCUAGUUGGGUGUUUGUGCAAAAAUGGCCUAACAAAUGAUCUUUCUCUCUCUCCAAUCUAUAUAUACUAAGUUAGAUGCAUGAAUUGGCUGGCAAAGGUGGCUGAUAUGCAUUGAUUUCAGUGACAUGGAGUGGUUAGAUUUGGUGAACAACUCACCUAAGGUCAAAACCUACAUAUUAGCUUCAAUAAUGCACAAAACGGUAAAAAUGUCAUUUGCCUUAUGAUUUUAAUGGCCAAAAUAUAAACUUGACAAGCCCUUAGGGUUUGACCUUUAGGGUUUAACCCUUAGGUUUAGCACAUUGAAUUUGUAAGAUUUAGCAAUUAGGAUUUGAAAAAUGUAAAAUUUUAGUUUCUAAAAUAAUAAAAAUAAAAAAUUAAAUUCUAAAAAUUACAAAUUAGGGUUUUCUUAAUUAGGUUAGGUUUCUAAUGACUUUAUACAAGAACAUUAGGGUUUAAUAUCACUAAUUAUAAUUAACCUCCCUAAUUUUAGCUAUUAGGGUUUACAAUUUUGAUAAUUAGGGUUACCAAAUUAUAAUUAGGGUUUCCAAUUACCAAUUUAGGGCUCUAGAUAUUAGGGUUUUAAAUUACUAAUUAGGUUUUCCAUAAUUAGCAAUAAAAUCUACUAUACAUGAUAUUAAUCACAUUAACACAAUUUCUGACUGAUCACAAACUCCAGUUUAUGUUUCAAAUUAGGGUUUCUAAUUUCAGAAAUUAGGGUUUUAAUUUAUAAUUAUUGUUUUCCAUAAUAACAAGGCUUUACCUAAAAUUACAAAUCAUAUAACACAUAACACAAUGUCUUAACAGAUUUUUAAAGUUUCAUUUUGACUUCAGAAUUAGGGUUUAACAGUAAUACUAGGGUUUAUAUAAAUAUUGCUAGGGUUUGGUUAUAAUACAUCAUAAUUGACCAACCAUUAUCAAUACGUACAUAUAGUACAUAUUUAUAGCACAAAAAAAUCAAAAUAUAAUUAAUAUUAUAUUAUUAUUCUCAUGCCUUGAUAAAAAUCCAAAAUUAGGGUUUGGAUUCCAUAUCUGAUUUAUCUAGCAUAUAUAACAUCAUUAAUUAAGUUAAAAUAAUUAACUUAAUUAAUCUAGCAUAAAUUCUUAUAAUAAAAUAAUUAUUAUAAAAUUAUAAAAAUCAUUUUAUAUAUUAUUUAAAUAAUAUAUAAUUAUAUUUUCAUGGAAAAUAAUUAAUAAAAACAUUUCUACUACAAAAUUAAUUAUUAUAAGAAUAUAAUUUAUAAUAAUCAAUAAUUCUAAAAUAAAAUUAUUUUCAAUAAUUCAUGUAAUAAAUAUAUUUUUAUUUAUCACAUAAAUAAAUAUACACAUUAUCUUGGCACAUAUUCCCCAUAUUUAUUUUAAUAAAUAAAAAAAAAUUAUACGCAAAAUUUCUGAUUUAUUUGUAUAGAAAAUAUCGGGUUGUUACAAAAGACCUCAAUUACUAUUGAGCAUAAGGGUUUGAAAAACCUCUUUUACAAAACAUCACUGCUAUAUCUUGUUAAAACUGAAUUUUUACACAAAUUCAAACCCUUUGUAUAUAGGUGCGAACGAGACAUAGCACUACUUCCAAAUAAUUGCACAUUGACCCACACACACACAUAUUCAUAUAACAGUUUAAUUGAAAAGUGACGGUCACCGUGGUAACACGGAUGUCGGGGGGUGCCUAACACCUUCCCUCCGCAUAAGCAAGUCUCCGGACCCUAAUGAAUCUCGGUUUCACAGACCAGUUUAACAGUGUUACAUCACGUGGUCAAUGUGCAAAUCUUUUCUCGGUUGAGUUGGUGCAACCAUUUAAAAAUACCAACUGGCGACUCUUACAGUCCAAUCGUCGACAUAUAAAUGUCGGAUCUUUUCACAACUUGGUUUUUUAAACAAAUCUCACCUAACAUUAGAACACCAAAAGACAAGAACAGAAAAGGGAUAGUAAAAAUCCCGACGUCGACAAACAUAAAAAAAUAUUGAAAACAUAUAUGCUUUAAUGGACCAUAAACCUAAUAUGUUAACUUUUUAGGUCAAGAUGUGAUUUCAGAUAAGUAUAUAUGGGUCGAAUAGUUCUCAACAACUGGUAUUAGAGCCAUAACUAUAUAUGGGCUUGAGUCAUGGAUAUGGUAUAGACUACGCAUGAUGGAUGAAAAAUAAUUCAUUAAACAUGUGGUUGACUCUACUCGCAAAAGCUCCUAGUUGACUCUUGACAAGAGAUAUUGAAGAGUCAGUGUGGACUCUUCAAUUAGGAGACAUUAUGAGCUAGGCUCAAUAAGUUAUGCACGCUUGGUGGAUUAUAUACUCUUUGAGAAAGUGGUGGACUCUUCUCGAGGAGAAUUUUUGUGGAUUAAAUAAGAGAUAUUAAGAGAUAAGCUCAUCAGAUAAAGAGACUUGAUGGGUUUGGCAGAAGCUCUUAGUGGAUCAAACAAGAGAUAAUGAGGAGGGUGACUCAUUAACUAGAAGAAGUGAUGGGCCAAUGCUAAAAAAGAGUUGGGUUAAAGUUUGGGGGGGNNNNNNNNNNNNNNNNNNNNNNNNNNNNNNNNNNNNNNNNNNNNNNNNNNNNNNNNNNNNNNNNNNNNNNNNNNNNNNNNNNNNNNNNNNNNNNNNNNNNGGAUAGAGAGAUCACACAUUAAGGGGGAGAUUCUUGUGGUACCGCGUGAUAGUAAAUGUGACGCCCCCAAAUCCAUGUACUUGCUAUAGUUGACUUAUGUUCACUAUCCAACACUAAAUCUUUCUAAUUAUAGAUAUUAUAGACUCCCAAUAAUGAAAAUCAGAUCGUUCCAAGGAAAGAGGGGUCUUCCAUAAAAACAGAGCGCAAUCAAAUAACCUCUUUUAUAGACAUAACUUUCUAGAAAUUGUCAAUAAUGUUAACUGAUCUAAUAAUAUCAUUUCACCCUUUAACUUAACAUUCACUAUCUUGAAAUGAACUUAAAGACAUAACAAAAGGUUAUAAUAAUAUUGAUUUAAUAACAAUAUUAUAAUUUCAGUUCUUUGUUUUUGUUAUAAAAAGUCAUUAUGACUUACACAAAAAUAGAAACUAAUACAUGCUUAUUAUCUUAAGUAUUUUUCUUUCCCUUCCCUUUAGUUCUAGAACCUUAUGGGAUUUCCUCAUUAGUUUCAAAUGAAAAUUUUCUAAAAGAAUGAAUAAAAAAUUGCUCAACAAGUCUAACAGAUAACAUAUAAGAGAACUCACACUUUUCUAAUUCAAAGGAAUAAUAGCUCAACAAAAGAUUUUAACAAUUGUCAAUAUCGUAAACUGAGGGUUUGUUAAACCAAGAACUAAUAAAUGUUCAUCAGCCAUAAAGACCUAGUAUUCUCCACAAAUAUUUAUAGGGGAAUCAGCCUAAAAAUAUUCUACAUUAUGCAUAACAUCUUCUAUACUGCUAUAAUCGUAUUAACAUUAUUUAAAUUGAUUUUCUGACACAUCAUAUAUUCCUCCAUGAAUAAGGGUUCUUCAACUCAAUUACUAACAUAUAGACAUCUNNNNNNNNNNNNNNNNNNNNNNNNNNNNNNNNNNNNNNNNNNNNNNNNNNNNNNNNNNNNNNNNNNNNNNNNNNNNNNNNNNNNNNNNNNNNNNNNNNNNAAAAAUUGGUUUGCCACAAUAAACUUAUCUCAAAUACAGAAUUAUAAUAAUUCAAUAUUUCACGAAUAAUUAUUCCUAAAGAAAUUAAAUUGAUCAUUAAUCGGGUUAAGCCGAAUCAAAUGGCAAUUAAUUAUUCUCAAUAAAUAUUACACAAAUAGUUAUGAACUUCAUAAUUCAAAGAAAGAAUUAAUGAAAUUCAAACAAUUAUAACAAAUUAUUGUACAACGUGCAGAAAAAACUUGUUUGUUUCGUCUUUUACGAUUUAUGCUAAUUUUUCUUCUUUUGUAUGACCUACAUAAUUAAUGAGGUUGAUAUACAAACUAGUCACAAUAAGAUUUCUUACUUUAGUUCAUUUUAACUAGCCUUAAAAAUCAACCAUAUUUCAAUUCUUAUUUUUACGAUGUCCGAUUUGUUAAAACCUAAAAGAAACUAGCUUUGCAAAGUUUGUCAAAAAAUUACCUGAAUAGCAUUUCAGCACCCAUUAGUAGAGGCCUGGCACUGCCUGUAACACCUCGCACAUCGCGCCCAGCACCCGCUCAGCCUGCUUGUCCAGCACCCCAAUGCUUAGCAAUGCUCGACAGCCCCUUGGCCUACUGCCAAGCCAGCGCCCCGACGCUUUUUCCUAGUGCCUCGGCGCUGCCUUCCCAGCCCAAAAAUUUUAGCUUUCAUGUUUUUGGUAGCUUUACCCUAUUUUCUUAUAAAAUUCAUUACAAAAAAUCUACAAGGUAUUUUUGAGUGAUUAUUUUUUCUGUAUUUUCGUAACUUCUAUAUUUAUAACUUUCUUUAUAUAGUAGCCCCAAAUUCUGAACAUAUUAGGCUUCACACCUCCCAUAAAAACUAGUAAAAAUCUUUCAUAUUUAAUACUUUACUUGUUACAAUUAGUUACCUAAUGCAUUAUUUAGCUAGUUUAUCAUGUUUUAACUCACUAACGCUAUCAUAAAUAAUCAUAAACUUAAACAUGCAUAAAUUCAUAAAUUCUAACAUAUAAGAAUCUAUGAACAAAAAUAAAAUAUGCAACGGUGAUCUUAUUUACCUCUUAGAGUACUAGCUUUACAACUUUUGAUUAUGCAAGCCUUUUGCUUUUCUUCUCUUUAUACCAAUAACUCUUAUUAUGAUUUUUCUCUUUUAAGCUUCUUGUGAAUUGGUGAAGAUUUAUGAAGGAUGGGGGUUCUAUUUAUAGGCAACCCAAACUUAGCCACCACAUAUUGCAUAACAAAAAAUCCUACAUUUAAGUGGCCAACAAGGCCAUGGGCCUUAA
rnacentral:lncRNA from 1 species